GGUGUUGCCACGAUAUAGUGUCUGGCAAUCCAUGACGUGAUUUCUAACACUAUUCCGAAGAAAAUAUAAAAAAAUUAGACUUUAUACUUUGCAGUAAGAUUUUUUACACCUUUAUUACUUUUUGUGUCCCAAAGCCACCAUGGUACAAACUUCGUAGUCGCUAAUCGUUCUAGACCCUGUGUUGGGGUCAAAACGCAGAGAAACUUUCAGCUUUUAAAAAAUAACGAAGGUCUGACACGCGCUGACUCUUAGUACAAAUAGUGUAAAUUAAAA